UCCUGGACUAAGGGACCGCGGCGGGCUGCGCUGUAGGGGCCCUCCCUCCCCUGCGGCGGGGCCGACCUCGCCACGCCCCCGGCGUCCUGGGGUCCCCGAAGUCCCUCCCGGCCGUGGCGUGGGCCCUUCACCUGGGCCUGCAGGGGACCGUGCUUCCCCGCCAAACCCUUUGCGCCCCCAUCCCGGCCUGCAGGAGACAGAGCGCCCCUCCCUCCCGGGCGAGGCGCGGGUUCAGUUCAAUCCUACUUCUGCCUGGAAACCUUCUCCAUGACCUCCCCACUUCCAGCAUGGGUUAGUGGCCCCACCCAGGUACUUCCUUGUACCUGGCAUCUGUUUACCUGCCUGUUCCUCAUCGGGACUGGGAGCUCCUGGAUGGCAAGCUCUGUGCCUGAUUCGCCCAGCACACAGCCUGUCGCAUGGCAUAGGUGCUCAAUGGAUGUUUGUUGAAUGAAUAAUUCCAGCAACUUCUGGGUGUGGCUUUUGACCUCAUGGUUCAGGAUAGCAGCUAGAGCUCCAGCAAUCACAUACGCAUUCCAGGCAGUGGAGUGGAGAAAAGGAUGAAGAAGAGGGCAGAGGGUCUGCACCAGCUCUCUUUUCGGGAAAGUUCCCAGAAGUUGCCACAUGGCACUUUCACAUAUACCACUUGAACUUACAUGACCAGACCCAGCGGCAAGAGGAAGCUGGGAAAUGCAACUUCCAUUCUGGGUAGCCACAUGCCCAACCAAGAACGAAGGACUGAAUUGCUACAGGGAGAACAGAUAUCCGGAACAACUAGUGGACUCCACCACUGAGAGGGUGGAUAGAUUGAGGGGCAGAGCCCGACUGUAUGCCAGGCGCUGUUUACAGGUCUUUCCUCAACCCUGCUAAAAGCUAUUAUUGUCCGGGGGCAGUAGCUCAUGCCUGUAAUCCCAGCACUUUGGAAGGCUGAGGUGGGGGCGUAUCAUUUGAGCCCAGGAGUUUGAGAACAGCCUGGUCCACAUAGUGAAACUGUCUCUAUUAAAAAAAAAAAAAAAAAAAAAAA